rnacentral:rRNA from 1 species
GCAAGUACGAACGGUAACAGGUCGUAGCUUGUCUAGAUGCUGACGAGUGGCGGACGGGUGGAGUAACGCGUGGGAAGUACUGCCUUCUAGUGGGGAGGUAGCCCGGAGAAAUCCGGAUUAAUACCGCAUACGCCCUACGGGGGAAAGCCGGGGAUCUUCGGACCUGGCGCUAGUAGAUGAGCCCGCGUGAGAUUAGCUUGUUGGUGGGGUAAUGGCCUACCAAGGCAACGAUCUCUAGCUGGUCUGAGAGGACGAUCAGCCACACUGGGACUGAGACACGGCCCAGACUCCUACGGGAGGCAGCAGUGGGGAAUAUUGGACAAUGGGCGAAAGCCUGAUCCAGCAAUGCCGCGUGUGUGAAGAAGGCCUGAGGGUUGUAAAGCACUUUCAAUCGUGAAGAAAAGUUGCAGGCUAAUACCCUGUGACCUUGACGUUAACGAUACAAGAAGCACCGGCUAACUCCGUG